UCUGCUCCCUCUCAGCACCAAGUUGUCUCAACCGCAAAUGCAAGCGUUGUCGGCUUUUCACAGACUCAUUCCCCUCUCGCCCUGCCCGGUGGCCAAACCGCCUCCCAGUCACGACGUGGGGCAACGCCAGCCACGGGCACUCAGCGGUAGGGGCGGCAGCUCGGCGGGCUCUGCUCUCCUCAUGCAGCCGCCAAGAGCUGCCGUCCCCAGGCUGCCAGGGGAAGAGCAUGGCACCGCCGCAGGAGCACGCAGAUCCCCAGAAAAGUGUGGAAGAUGAAAUUGAAUCUGUUCUGCAGGAGCGGAUAAUGAUUUUGGAUGGAGGCAUGGGUACCAUGAUCCAGCAACGUGCCCUUUCAGAAGAGGAUUUCCGAGGGCAUGAGUUUAAAGAUCAUUCCAGGCCUUUGAAAGGCAAUAAUGACCUUCUCAGUAUAACUCAACCUGAUAUAAUCUGUGACAUACACAAGGAGUACUUGCUGUCAGGUGCUGACAUCAUUGAAACUAACACUUUCAGCAGCACCAGAGUUGCACAAGCUGACUAUGGCCUUGAGCAUUUGGCGUAUCGGUUAAACAGAGCCUCUGCAUGUGUGGCCAGAAAAGCAGCAGAUGAUGUCACUGCUCAGACAGGAAUUAGGAGAUAUGUUGCUGGAGCCAUGGGUCCAACAAACAGGACACUCUCUGUGUCACCAUCUGUGGAGAGACCAGAUUACAGGAACAUAACUUUUGAUGAACUGGUUGAAGCGUAUAAGGAACAAGCCAAAGGACUUUUGGAUGGAGGAGUUGAUAUCUUGUUAGUGGAAACUGUAUUUGAUACAGCCAAUGCCAAGGCAGCUCUUUUUGCACUCCAGACAUUGUUUGAAAAAGAAUAUGCUUCCCGACCCAUAUUUGUUUCUGGAACCAUUGUGGAUAAGAGUGGGCGUACCCUCUCAGGCCAGACAGGAGAGGCAUUUGUCAUUAGUGUUUCCCACAGUAAGCCACUUUGUAUCGGCUUAAAUUGUGCCUUAGGGGCAGUUGAAAUGCGACCAUUCAUUGAAACAGUUGGACAGUGUACAACAGCCUACAUCAUCUGUUACCCCAAUGCAGGUCUUCCCAAUACCUUUGGUGGUUAUGAUGAAACUCCAGAAGUGACUGCCCAGCAUCUAAAGAAUUUUGCUUUGGAUGGUUUGGUCAACAUAGUUGGAGGUUGCUGUGGUACUACACCAGCACAUAUCAGGAAAAUUGCCAAAGCUGUGAAAUUCUGUAAGCCUCGCGUUCCACCUUCUCCCUCUCAAGGAUACAUGCUGCUGUCAGGUCUGGAGCCAUUCAGGAUUGGGCCAUACACCAACUUCGUUAAUAUUGGCGAACGCUGCAACGUUGCGGGAUCACGGAAGUUUGCUAAACUCAUCAUGGCAGGCAACUAUGAAGAAGCCCUGAAUGUAGCCAAAUCGCAGGUUGAGAUGGGGGCCCAGGUUCUUGACAUUAAUAUGGAUGAUGGGAUGCUGGAUGGGCUUGCUGCAAUGACCAGAUUUUGUAACUUGAUUUCUUCAGAACCUGAUAUUGCAAAGGUGCCAUUAUGCAUUGACUCCUCAAAUUUUUCAGUGAUUGAAGCAGGCUUGAAAUGUUGCCAAGGGAAGUGCAUUGUAAACAGCAUCAGUCUGAAGGAAGGCGAGGAAGACUUUUUGGAGAAAGCAAGGAAAAUUAAGUUGUAUGGAGCAGCUGUGGUUGUCAUGGCUUUUGAUGAAACAGGACAGGCAACAGAAACAGAAACCAAGAUUGCAGUCUGUUCCAGAGCUUAUCACCUCCUUGUGGAAAAAGUGCACUUCAAUCCAAAUGAUAUAAUAUUCGACCCUAAUAUUUUAACCAUAGGAACCGGAAUGGAAGAACAUAACCUGUAUGCCAUUAAUUUUAUCAAUGCUACUAAAACCAUAAAAGAAACACUGCCAGGAGCCAGGAUAAGUGGAGGUCUUUCCAAUCUGUCUUUCUCCUUUCGAGGGAUGGAUGUCAUUCGAGAAGCAAUGCAUGGGGUGUUCCUUUACCAUGCGAUUAAGUAUGGUAUGGACAUGGGAAUUGUGAAUGCUGGGAAUCUACCAGUGUAUGAUGAUAUCCACAAGGAAUUGCUACAGCUGUGUGAGAAUCUAAUUUGGAACAAAGAUCCUGAUGCGACAGAGAAACUUCUACAUUAUGCUCAAAAAAAUGCCCAGGGAGGAAGAAAAGUCAUACAGACUGAUGAGUGGCGGAAAAGCGCUGUGGAGGAAAGGCUGGAAUAUGCUCUCAUAAAGGGCAUUGAGAAGUAUGUCACUGCAGAUACAGAAGAAGCAAGAUUAAAUCAGAAAAAAUAUCCUAGACCUCUAAAUGUAAUUGAAGGGCCUUUGAUGAAUGGCAUGAAAAUCGUUGGUGAUCUUUUUGGUGCUGGAAAGAUGUUUCUGCCUCAGGUUAUAAAGUCUGCUCGAGUUAUGAAGAAAGCAGUGGGUCAUCUUAUUCCCUAUAUGGAAAAAGAAAGAGAGGAAAGAAGAGCCCAACAAGGCAGCAUAGAGGAAAAGGAUCCUUAUCGUGGUACAAUAGUACUGGCAACUGUGAAAGGAGAUGUCCAUGAUAUUGGCAAGAACAUUGUGGGAGUCGUUCUAGGCUGCAACAACUUCAGAGUUAUUGAUUUAGGAGUCAUGACUCCAUGUGACAAGAUCCUGAGAGCUGCUAUUGAGAACAAAGCAGAUAUAAUUGGUCUGUCUGGUCUCAUCACCCCUUCUUUGGAUGAAAUGAUUUUUGUCGCCAAGGAAAUGGAGAGAUUGGCAAUAAAGAUUCCGUUGCUGAUUGGAGGAGCAACUACUUCUAAAACACACACAGCUGUUAAAAUUGCCCCACGAUACAGCGCACCUGUAAUUCAUGUCCUGGAUGCAUCAAAGAGUGUUGUGGUUUGCUCCCAGCUUUUAGAUGAGAGUGUAAAGGAUGAUUUCUUUGAAGAAAUAUUAGAGGAAUAUGAAGAAAUUAGACAAGAACACUAUGAGUCUCUCAAGGAAAGAAGAUACUUGUCUCUACAGCAAGCUAGAAGAAAAGGUUUCCAUAAUGACUGGUUAUCAGGCCAUAAACCAGUUAAACCAAAAUUCAUUGGCACAAAAGUCUUUGAAGAUUAUGACCUGAAGAGGCUGGUUGAAUACAUUGACUGGAAGCCUUUCUUUGAUGUCUGGCAACUUAGGGGAAAGUAUCCCAACCGGAGUUUCCCAAAAGUCUUUAGUGAUAAAACUGUAGGUGAAGAAGCAAAGAGAGUUUAUAAUGAUGCUCAAAAUCUGCUGCAAAUGUUGAUUAAUCAAAAGAAAUUACAAGCCAGAGGUGUGGUUGGGUUCUGGCCAGCUCGAAGUGUUCAAGAUGAUAUCCAUAUAUAUGCUGUAGAAGAGGCAGUAGGAUCUUCGGAACCAAUAGCAAAAUUUUAUGGUUUGAGGCAACAGGCUGAGAAGGACUCUGCCUGCACAGAUCCAUAUUACUGCCUCUCUGACUUCAUAGCACCACUGGAUUCUGGCAUUUGUGACUACUUAGGCCUAUUUGCUGUGGCCUGUUUUGGUGUAGAUGAGUUAUGCAAUGAAUUUAGGAAACAGGAUGAUGAAUACGACGUCAUAAUGGUAAAGGCUCUUGGUGAUCGGUUGGCAGAGGCAUUUGCUGAGGAGCUACAUGAAAGGGUUCGAAGGGAGUUCUGGGCUUACUGUAGUACUGAGCAGCUAGAUCUCUCUGACCUACGCAGAAUUAAGUAUGAGGGAAUUCGCCCUGCCCCGGGAUAUCCAAGCCAGCCUGACCAUACAGAAAAACGCACCAUGUGGAAACUUGCAAACAUUGAGGAAGCAACAGGAAUUGGUUUAACUGAAUCACUAGCAAUGAUACCUGCUUCUGCAGUUUCUGGUCUCUAUUUUUCCAGUCCCAAAUCCAAAUAUUUUGCUGUUGGCAAGAUAUGUAAAGAUCAGGUUGAAGAUUAUGCGCUGAGAAAAAAUUUGUCUGUGGCAGAGGUGGAGAAAUGGCUGGGACCCAUAUUGGGAUAUGAUACUGAAUAAAUGUGACACUUGUGGGCAAACAUUUUCUUCUGAUGGUCUGUUUGCCAGCAGGAACAAGAAAAUCCUUCCCACUGAAAACAGCUUUCUUCUAUCCAUUCCAAUAGCUUCUUUGAUUGGUUUUGAUUUUUGAUCAAGGAGCUUAAUAUUUCAGAUCUGCCCUGUGCUUUUGGCUUGAGACUGUGAAUGCAUUGCAGAUCUCUUAGUCAUAGCAAUAUUAUUUUAUUUAUUUUUAUUUCUUGCAUAAAUAACCUAGCUGAUCAGCUAUAGAUGUAGGGUGAGAUGUGGAAGCUGCAGACCUCUCCUGUCCUCAGGAAGGCUUUGAAAUCAGGGGCAAGAAUAUCUAUCCUGUUGGCUAUGGGUAUACAUAGGACAGAAUUUGACUUCUGUUAUUCUCAUGGUUUUUUGGCAAGUCUAGGUGCAGAGAUACGAUGUGGUUUUUCUCUAAAGUCAGUGAAAGUUUUCUACUGAGUGAUCAAGAACAACUGAAGUGCAACAGAUCUUUCUUAAAAUCUGUCUGCUCUGCAUUUAGGUCAUGCGAUAGCAACAUACGUUGUUCUCUCUGAAUAGUAGCGGGAUUUUAAAUUACUUUGUGAUUAUGAUUGUAGUUAGAACUAUCAAAAUAAUACAAUGGGUUGGAACAGUAUCGGAGAUGCUGUAUUGUUGGCAGAAGAUGGAAUGGAAUGACUGAGCCCAUGGAGUUGUCCACCUCCUGCUUCCUCUUCCUUCCAGUGAGCCACAGUCUGUUUCUACUCUGCAUAAAGGCACAAAGGGGAAUUGUGAAGGAAAAGGGUCUCGGUUCUAGCAGCAAGAUUCUUGCCAAAUAGCCUCUUCCCAGGAAGUGGACAACCUCAUUCCUUUUAAUCUGGCCAGCAUUUGGAAAUCUAAGUUGAGGUUCAGACGUGGUGUGCAAAAGGGAGGUCUGAAAACGUGUCAGUUCUCUGUGGUUGGUGGACUCCGUCCACACUUCUGUUCCUGUUGUGACCUUGUGAGAACAAAUACGUACGUAUCUUUGUAGAUUAGGGCAGCAGUGGUGCAGGAAGUAAGAGAUAAGAAGCUGCACUGUACAGCCGAAAGACCUAUUUAGCAAAGUGUUCUUUAGAGAUGCAUUGGUACAACGUGUACUCCAGCUCCUGUCGUUGAUCAGGAUGCAUUUUCAACUGCUGUCUCAAUCUUGUCUGUACUAAGCUGCUUUUAUUUCAGGAAAUCGCUACUCGUGAGGUCUCAUGCUUUGCUAAAUACUGGGCAACGUCUUCUUCGCUUAAUCAGGCAUUUAUAAUGAAUGACUUCGCAGUAACUAUCUGCUGUUAUAUUUUUGGCUUUCAUAUCUGUAACCAGAUAGAUGGCUUGCUUCAGAAUGCUGUUACCGAAUGAAGAAAUACGUGGUUUCUCUAAGGCCCAUAAGAUCAGAUUUUAUUUAAUCAACACCUGACCCAACAGGUUUACACGGGUGUGGUCAAGGGUUUACAGACCAAUCUCGUUAGUCGGGAAGUUUGCUACUUACAAAAACAUGACCAUGUUUAUACUCUUUAUUUAGGAAAUAAAUGUAAACACUUUAAUUAUUUUACUUUCUUCCAAAUAUUGUUCCUCGCAUCUCAGGGCAGGUAAAGGAAUAAAAGUUUUGAUUCAGUUGUCGUAAUACAUACGGUAAGAAGCAGCAACGCAAGAGAUUCAAAACUUAAUAUGAUGUAAAAGCGUACAAGUACUUACUGAUAUCAUCUUGUCUCUUCAGAUAAACAUUAGGUGAGGAUGCUGUAAAACAGGAGUCAGCAGUCACCUAAUGCUCAGUGAAGAUUUAGACUUUCAGAUGUUGGAUCGGCAGCACUUCAUGGAAUUUUAGGCAAUAUACUACAUGCUUUGCCUUCUCCUUUUGUGUCAGUUUCUCCCACAACUGAAUCUUGCUGCUGCAUCCAAAUUCCUGGGUAUUCCGCAAGAAGUGUUUGCCACGGAUUUUGUUGAAGAUUUUGAUGUGCAUUUCCAGGAUUAUUUUUUCAAAAGUCUAAAGCAUCACACUGUACAUGAACAUUUCAAGUUCUUGAACUAUAGAAUACUUGUUUUUCCUCAAAAAGUCUCCAGGUACUGAUGAAUUUAUUAUUUUUUUUUUUUACCACUCAACUGAAUCAAAUAGCCUGCAUUUCCUCACAGCUCCAAGUAUGCUGGAAGAGGGAGUGAGGAGGGAAAGGAGUUUCUAUGGUACUUUUUGUUCUUAAAUCUUGAUUAGCAUAUGUGUCUGCUGUCAUAUUCAUUGCUUGGGAGCUAAAGCGAGCUGGAACAGCCUUUAGCAGGUGCUCCAGUGUCUGAUCCAGCUGCUGUUAAAGUCUGUACUUACCUGAAACACAACUUUGAUCAGUCCUGAUGCAAUAAUCUGGGAAGAAAAUUCAGCGUUGUCCUGACAAAACCGGUUGAGGGCUAACAAAAUGUGCUGUUAAACCUCCCUUGGUGUCUCAGCUUUGUUGAAAUAGAUGGCUGGGGCUGUGAAAGUGAUUUUUGCUCUCAUUCUGAAACACCUGAUGGCAAGCGCUAGCCUAUCGAGCCAGGAACAGAUGAACUUUCCAGCGGUGGGUCCAGGUGAUCCAUUGUAACCAUCCAUCUCGGGGACGUUUGUGGGAGGUCGCUGAGCAGAACCAGCAGCGUGGGUAUUGAUUCUGUUUUGCAGACUGAAGGAUGGAAGGUGUAAAGGUUGAUGAGGAUUGGCAAAUGCUCUGAAAAUAUUUUCAUGGUUUCAAGCCUCUUGUGUUUUUAAAACAAAUACUGUUUAAUGAGAUUUCGAGACUUACAGUCCGUGACAGUCAUGUGACUAUACAUUGUGCUGACUUUCUAUAGACUGUUGGAGUUCCAUUUGGCCCUUUUUUAAAGAAGAGCUGCCUUUUAGUUAAACUUCCUCCUUAAAUAUGUGUUUCAUGUUAUGUAAUUCUAC